UACGUAGGGCGCAAGCGUUAUCCGGAAUUAUUGGGCGUAAAGAGCUCGUAGGCGGUUUGUCGCGUCUGCCGUGAAAGUCCGGGGCUCAACUCCGGAUCUGCGGUGGGUACGGGCAGACUAGAGUGAUGUAGGGGAGACUGGAAUUCCAGGUGUAGCGGUGAAAUGCGUAGAUAUCUGGAGGAACACCGGUGGCGAAGGCGGCAUCCUGGACCGGUAUUGACGCUGAGGCGCGAAAGCCAGGGGAGCAAACGGG
rnacentral:rRNA from 1 species